UACGUAGGGUGCGAGCGUUGUCCGGAUUUAUUGGGCGUAAAGAGCUUGUAGGCGGCUCGUCACGUCGGGUGUGAAAACUCGCGGCUCAACCCCGGGCCUGCAGCCGAUACGGGCAAACUAGAAUUCGGUAGGGGAGACUGGAAUUCCUGGUGUAGCGGUGAAAUGCGCAGAUAUCAGGAGGAACACCGAUGGCGAAGGCAGCUCGCUGGGACGGUGACUGACGCUGAGGCGCGAAAGCGUGGGGAGCAAACAGG
rnacentral:rRNA from 1 species